CCUACGGGAGGCAGCAGUGGGGAAUAUUGCGCAAUGGGCGAAAGCCUGACGCAGCGAAGCCGCGUGAGGGAUGAAGGUCUUCGGAUCGUAAACCUCUGUCAGCAGGGAAGAACGGUCACUGUGCUAAUCAGCAGUGAAUUGACGGUACCUGCAAAGGAAGCACCGGCUAACUCCGUGCCAGCAGCCGCGGUACUACGGAGGGUGCGAGCGUUAAUCGGAAUUACUGGGCGUAAAGCGCUCGUAGGCGGUAUGUCAAGUCAAGGGUGAAAGCCCCGCGCUCAACGUGGGAACUGCCUUUGAAACUGGCAAACUGGAGUGUGUGAGAGGAUAGUGGAAUUCCAGGUGUAGGAGUGAAAUCCGUAGAUAUCUGGAGGAACAUCAGGGGCGAAGGCGACUAUCUGGCACAUAACUGACGCUGAGGAGCGAAAGCGUGGGUAGCAAACAGGAUUAGAUACCCUUGUAGUC
rnacentral:rRNA from 1 species